rnacentral:rRNA from 1 species
UCGCCCUUAAUGCUCAGUAACACGUAGCUAACCUACCCUCAGGACGGGUAAAACCUCGGGAAACUGAGGUUAAUACCCGAUAGGUAUGGAAUCCUGGAAUGGUGCCAUGCCUAAAAGUAAUCGCAUCCAUGUUUGCGUGCACGCCUGAGGAUGGGGCUGCGGCCGAUCAGGCAGUUGGUGAGGUAACGGCUCACCAAACCUUUGACCGGUACGGGCCAUGAGAGUGGUAGCCCGGAGAUGGGCACUGAGACAAGGGCCCAGGCCCUACGGGGCGCAGCCGGUACGAAACCUCCACAAUUCACGAAAGUGAGAUGGGGUUACCUCGAGUGCCGUCUGAAGAAGGCGGCUUUUCCAUUGUGUAAUGAGCCGUGGGAAUAAGGGGGGGGCAAGACUGGUGUCAGCCGCCGCGGUAACACCAGCCCCCCGAGUGGUGGGGAUGAUUAUUUGGCCUAAAGCGUCCGUAGCCGGCCCGGUAAAUCCCUCGUUAAAUCCAGCGUCCUAAGCGUUGGGCUGCGAGAGAGACUGCCGGACUAGAGGGUGGGAGAGGUCAGCGGUAUUCCUGGGGUAGGGGCGAAAUCCAUUGAUCCCAGGAGGACCACCAGUGGCGAAGGCUGCUGACUAGAACACGCCUGA